rnacentral:rRNA from 1 species
UACGUAGGGGGCAAGCGUUGUCCGGAUUUAUUGGGCGUAAAGAGCGUGUAGGCGGCCAUGUAGGUCCGUUGUGAAAACUCGAGGCUCAACCUCGAGACGCCGAUGGAAACCAUGUGGCUAGAGUCCGGAAGAGGAGAGUGGAAUUCCCGGUGUAGUGGUGAAAUGCGUAGAUAUCGGGAGGAACACCAGUGGCGAAGGCGACUACCUGGCCUGUUCUUGACGCUGAGGCGCGAAAGCUAGGGGAGCAAACGGG